CUGCGCGCCAGGCCCGGCCCCGGGGAGCCCGGCCGCUGCCAGUGCCCCUGAGCAUCGACUGCGCCCUGUGAGCGAGCCGAGCUUCGGAGGCGAUAGCUGAGGCGAGGGCGGCGGCGGCGGGGCCGGUUUCCCUGCGGGCGGCGCGGCCCGGCGCGGCCCUGCCCCGCCCCGGAGGAAGGUACGCGGCGCGUAGGAGCGGGCUGUGGGAGCGGCAGGCGGCUCGGGUGGUGGUCCCGAGCCAGCACGGGAGCUCACCCUGCCCCGCUUUGCUCCUGCGAGGCGUCGUCGUUCCCCUCUGGCAAGCCUGCGGUAGCGAAGCGGAAAAAAAAAAAAAAAAAAGCUCCAUCUGCUACUACACCAAAGAUAAGCGUGGAUUCGUUCCUCGUAUCCCUACAAACACCACCACAAACAAUCCUUUUCAAAUUACAGGAAAGCGUACGCGCUCUGUGGGGCCCCCCUUCCCCACCCGCCCGCCGGCGCGGUGCUGGUCCGGCCGAGCUGGGCGCGGCGGAGGGCGACCCCCCCCCGCUCCGCCAGCCGUCUCCCGCUCUCCCAGUCGGAACCUGCCCCCCACGCCGGCGCUGUCACCGCCUGGCUGCGUGCGGGUGGCGGGAGCGCUAAGGUAAUCGUUUCCUGGCUGUUGAGUACUUCACCAUAAAGAACUAACGAGCUUUUAAUUAGCGGAGGGUUAUGCAGAAUUUCCUGUUCCUUCGUGUGUGAUGCAAAAGCACCUUACUCGAUGCAUAACCGUAGACCGGGAUCGUAUGGAAAAAAGGCGUUUUCCUUUGAAAUCCUGUUUACUUCGUCGUGCAUCUUCACAGAAACCACACGUACUGGGACUAUUGGAAACGUCAAGGUGACUUAAUUAAAAAAUAAAAUAAAAUUUAAAUACGACUGUGUAAUCGUUGUUAGUCCGUCUGAACUGGGGGCAUUUCCCACCCCGUUGCUUGUGCAAAUUAAAAGCAGGUUUCAGGCCACGGCUGAAAUCUGCUUGUGUGUGCGUUGGCAUCUGCCACACUGCGAUUUCCUGCCGGUGUCAGCCCUCCAGCUUCACCUGCCGUCGCUCAGCCUUUUCAUGAGCCUGACUAGUUCAUGACUUAAGCCCUUGGAAGGCUUUCUAUUAUUUUCAAAGGAUGUUGGAUCAGACAAAACCAGUAUUGUGUAGGAACUUUCCUAAGCAAUACCCUGCACUAACAAAGCCAGAAAUGUUGCCAGAUUGCUAAAGGAUUGUGUUACAAAAUCCAUGGACAUGGACAAAGUGCAUGUUUUAAUCACAUGCUGAAAGGCAUAACUCUGACCUAGUAAGUAUCUCCACACCAAAUAAUAGAGGUUAGGGUUUAAAAUGUGAAAAGUGUUUAUUUUACUUACGUUGGAAGAUGGCUGAAUCACAGGGAUUCAAAUUUGCCUGGGUAAUUUUACUUCUCAACUAUGUAUAAAGCUGCUGAAUAUAAAUAAAAGUAUUUGAUUUAAAAUGAAUGGCAAUGUAAAUCAAGCAGAUCCAGGUACUUGCUAAUUCUCAAUAAUCCACAUGAAAAUAUUUAUUUAUAUGAGGUGUAGUUUCAAGAAAUAACUUAAAACACCACUUAUGGAAAUGGAAUUCCCUGCCUUUUCCAAGCCCUUCAAACUUCAUUUAAUAUCCUCAUCAGUAAAGAGGAUCAUAAACCUAUUUUUGCUGUGCAGGCUUCAGGAUCAGAGGCAAUGCUGUAGUACAUAUUUAUAUUGCUUUAAGGAUGUGGAUUAACUGGAAUCCAUUAAAUAGAUUUUCAGGUUUAAAUGUGGGCAUUUACAGGCAUAUUUUACAGCUGUUAUUCAGGCAUGUAAGUACAGUCAUGGAUAUCUGCAAAUUACUUUGUGCAUAAACAGUUCCGGGUGUCAAACAUUCCAGAAAUCCUAGUGUUAGUAAAGCUUAUCAGAUCAAAUUAAUGCAUUUUUUACACAUGUUCAGAAAACCUGUUGCAGUGUUUGAGACUCCUACUUUUAAGUUCAAUUUAAAAAAAAAUACUUAAACUUUAUUAUCAUCCAUACAAUAUGUAGGAAGAUGACACCUACUGGAUAUUUUUAAUUUUGCAAUUUGCACUGCAUAGUUUAAAAUGUGGAAUAAUAAACCAAAUUCGACUUUGUUCCAUGAGUAUAUCGCUACUGAAUUCACUUGUUAUAUAUACCAAUUCAGGAAAUUGGUAUAUAUUAAUUGUAGGGUUAAAUGCAGUCUCAACGUCUUUGUAAAUGUGGGGGUCAAAUCCUGUUCCAAGUAUAUUCAUGUUAUUACUCCUAUAAAAAAAAAAGUUUUCUUAGCUGGGGACUUCUGCAAUUUCUUGUGUAUAAACUGACAUACAAAUUAAGCAUAAAGAGCCUUUAUCUGUCCAUCUAGAUUAAUUGUUAAGGACAAAUAGUCCUGAACUCCAAGGUGAAGGUGAUUCCAUGUAUUACCGUGGCUGUGUGUACCUGACUUGAUAAAUAUGUCAAAUGUCAAGCCUACACCCCACAGCAAGGCAGCACAAAGCCGGGGGAGCUGUUUCAUAAUAAAUAAGAACUUAACACUUGAAAAUGCUUUCCAAAUAAUGGAAUACACCUCCUCUAUCACGCUAUGAGUCAGGAAGUCACAGAUCAGUUUACUUCGAUAACAACUAUAGGUCACUGGAAUUCUUUGAUGUCUUACAGAGCCAUGCAGCAGAAGGUUGGGGUUUUAGUUUCAGUCAUGUAAAAAUGAUUUGUUUUUUUGACAGCUCAGAGUGGUCAAAUUUCAUAUAUUUUUUCAAAAGCUAUUAAUAUUUUUCAACUUGAGAUCAAGAGGAACUGCUUUAAUACAAAUCAUCAAAUGCAGCUUCUGAUGGUUUCUUUCAACUACAACUAAGUAGCAUGCACUGAAAUAACUGGACAUAACACAAUGGUAGAACACAUACAGAAUGGUAGAACCACGUAUUUUCUAAACCAGUCUGCCAAGGCCAUGUUUAGGGUCCGUGCCCAUACAUGAUGGCCACAUCUAAAACUACUCUUUGGCAAAACAACCUCUGAGUUUGUAAAACUGCUCCUUUUGCAUAAGUGCUGUCAUGAGCCCUUCAAGCCAAAGGCUUUAUUGGAUUAAUGCCAGUGCUUGUUACAGAUACCAUAAAAUCACAUGAUCUUGCAAAAAUCACAUUUUUAUAAGUAAAAAAAAUAAAAAUGCAGGGAGGGUUUUCGAGUACAAUUUUUUUUCUGAUGACAAGAUCCUGAAAAGCUUUAAAUACACACAAUACAUUUACCUUGAAAUAUAACAUAAAUUUUGUAAGAACGAAAACAGUUGGCUUGCUAAGAAAAACAGUACAUACCGUGCACGUCAAAAAUUCAUUUCAGUUCGCAAUGAAUGUAGCAAUCCAUUAACUAUUUCCAAAUUUCAUUUCUCCUCCCCAGAUACCUUCUGCUGUGAAUUACCCAAUACCAUUUUGCAUUCCUUACAUAAGGGUAAAGCUCUGUACAGUACAUCUUUCAUUUUGUUAUAACAGCUUUUUCAUUGCGAUCAGUAAGGGCAUCUAUAUUGUGGACUGAAACAAAAACCAAGAGACAUGAAAGGGCCCUAAAGUGGCUUUUCUUCUCCUAAGACGAUAUUCUAGCAUAAAAGAGACCAAUCUGCAUUUUUUGAAAAGCCAGAUAUCAAUGUUUCAUUAACGGAGGCUUUGGUGGCUUUGGCAUGUGGGUGGCACCCAGCUGUGCCUGGGUGAAGCUGCUCAUUCUGUCGUGCGGAGGAUAGCUUGUGUCAUCAGUCCUGCCUGCCUGCACGCAGGGGCCGGGGCUUUGGCAGUCUGCAUGCUGCUAAUGACAACAAAUUGCUAGCUAAUGCAGAUAGGUGCACAGGCUUUCCUAUGGCUAGCUUUUGUUCUGCAGCUCAAUAUAGACAGACUUUCAUCUGUGGCACUGCCAGUGUGGUAUUUACAAAAUAUUUAAAGACUCACGUAUUACUGCUUAAAGUUCAAUGGAAACUAUUUACAUUCAUGUGACGAUUAUUAAUGUUAUCAUUAAAGACACUGGUAGUCUUCAUCCAAGAAUAUUUAUAUCUGUUUCUUCUUCUGAAGAGAAAAAGAGCAAAUUAAGAUAACAUUUGAAAAGCUAAAGUAAAACCUGUAAAUAUUGUUACUGACAUAGGGACCUUUUCAAUAUAUUAAGAUUUUCCCUGUAAAAAUUAAUGUGUUUAAGAUUAGUUAUUGUAUUACGUUUGGGUUUUAUUCCUUCUCUACAGCUACAUGCCAUGGGCUUAGAUAGCAUUUCUUAAAAGAAGCUAAGAAAGCAGAAAGCAAUUUACUCAUAGUAAACAUUUGAUAAAAUGAAUGAUGAUAAUCUGUUGUGUGGAAGACUGAUUCUGAUUUCACAUCUGUGUGAAGUGACAAUGUCCAUAACAUGAGCACUUGCUCUGUUUCCCCUCGACAGAGGAUACUGGUUUUAUGCUUGUUAUUUGAAGAGAAUGCUCACUGGGGAAGUUCAAAAAGGGUUUUCUGUCUUGACAAAGCAAGGCACACAUCAGAGAGGCAAAACACAGCGAUGAGUCUUGGGUCAUCUCUGACAGGAGACAAGACUUACAUACAAGUGCAUCAUCUGCAUGAGGCAAAUCUCUUAGUUCUAUAAUUUCCCCCGUAUUCCUUUAAUGACAAACUUUCUCAUUCUCUUUAAAGUAAAAAGAUGAUUGCAAAGAAAUGCGUUAGGCCUUGCUGUUUAUGGCUUUACAAUUUUCUAUAGAACAGCAGAGAACGAGCCUUCGGGGUUUGCCUUCUGUAAAAAAAGGGUGGUAAGAGAGGGAAUUAUACUAACAGUUGCUCACAGGCAUGUUUCUCUCCUAUGCUAACUACGACUAGCAUACUUAGCAAGGAGACAAGAAAAGGGAUCAUGGAGUGUGUCCAAGGGCUGCAGCGCCCUUCCUGGUGUCUCUCUGGCUACAGGACAGAUGGACCAUCUGUGAGGAUGGCAGACAUGGGCACCACCAUUGGGUUGCCAGCCACAGUUCUGCUGUGAAGCUCCUGCCCAAGGCGCCAUGCUCAGGGCAGCACUCACUUCUGGCUCUCUUGGCUCUGCUUUUCCUCCACACUGGGGCCUUUGGGAAAUGCACCACUUCAGAUUGCUGCUCCCUGAUCCUUCACCUACACUGGUUUUGUUGUUGUUUCAUUUUCCAAGCACCACACUGAGAAAUGUCUGUCUUUCACAAGUCGCUGUUGCAGUACAAACAAACUAGUAGGCUGCAACAAGGCUUUACCAUCGGUCAGAUUCUACUGUCUGUGCUGUACCUCCUUCCUCCAGAGGUCAAACCAUACCCCUCCUCCACCCGACCCCUCUCCCACAAUCCUCAGGGCUAUUUAACCACUUAGCGGUACAGCUGCAUGUCUUCCAUGUCCAUCAACCCACUGCCUCUGAGGCAAGGCCACAGCUGCAUACCAUCAAUGCCAAUCAACCCACUGCUUUCAUUCCUCUACAAUUCCCGACCCCCCCCUUUUUUUUUUUAACCAGAAAGGCUGUGUCUAUCAUCUAUUGUAGGGCCCUUGGCAGGAUAUGUGGAAAGGCUGUUUAGGUUGAGUUAAGAAGGCACAAAGCUACGUCUGAUUCAGCCUCUGCAUCAGGGUCACCCAGAUAUUCUGACUCCCCUCUCAAGAGUUCUGUGGAACAGCCAGUAUCUGAUGUCCUCUUGUCAAUUCUAGGAUCUAAAACAGGCUUAACACUCCUGCGGCCACCGCGGCCCUGCAUCUGUGGAGACACAAGCAUACCCUUAUCCCCAGGAAGUAGUUUUAAAGUAUGAUGAACAUGCUCCACAAUGGCUUGGCCAGCCAGGGAAUGCGGGAUGCCACUAACAUGUUCCACCCCUCAAGAGGCAAGAACUUGGCCAUGCGUGCAGAUGAAUAUAUGCUGGUCCACUGUCUGUCUUGAGAUGCUUAGGAACCCCCAGAGCAGCCCAAGCCUGUCGAAGAUGUGAAAUGGCAUCCAGAGCCUUCUCCCCAGUAUGGGCCAAUGCCCAUAGAACUUUUGAGAAGGUAUCAAUGGAGACAUGAACAUACUGUGAACGACCUAAAAAAAGACACGUGUGAUAUCCAUUUGCUACAGAUCCAAGGACUGAUAGCCACGUGAAUUGACCCCUCGUGGAAACGUUAGUCCAGGACCCAAUCGCUGACACUCUGGACAAGCGGCAAUGAUGGAUUUUGCAUCUGCAAAAGAUAUUUUAAAUUGAUGGACCAAUGCCCGAGCCCCCUGAUGAAAAAAAUUAUGAGACACGAGGGCCUGUCAUAUCAGAUCCAGCACUGGAGGAGUCCAAGCAGGAGCUGCAAGAGCAUCAGCACGGGCAUUUUCUUCACAGAUGAAUCCUGGCAAUCCAGUGUGACUGCGGACGUGCAGGAUGUAAUAUCUAUGUGUGCAUUGACUCACUAUUACCCAUAAUGUUUUAAAUAAAAAUAGUCGUUCUGAAUUUA